UACGGAGGGUGCAAGCGUUAAUCGGAAUUACUGGGCGUAAAGCGCGCGUAGGCGGUUUGGUCAGUCAGAUGUGAAAGCCCCGGGCUCAACCUGGGAAUUGCAUUUGAUACUGCUAAACUAGAAUGUGGUAGAGGGAAGUGGAAUUCCAGGUGUAGCGGUGAAAUGCGUAGAGAUCUGGAGGGACAUCAGUGGCGAAGGCGGCUUCCUGGACCAACAUUGACGCUGAGGUGCGAAAGCGUGGGUAGCAAACAGG
rnacentral:rRNA from 1 species